GAUGAAGAACGUAGCGAAAUGCGAUACGUAAUGUGAAUUGCAGAAUUCAGUGAAUCAUCGAGUCUUUGAACGCACAUUGCGCCCCCUGGUAUUCCGGGGGGCAUGCCUGUCCGAGCGUCAUUGCUGCCCUCAAGCACGGCUUGUGUGUUGGGCCUCCGUCCUCCUCCCGGGGGACGGGCCCGAAAGGCAGCGGCGGCACCGCGUCCGGUCCUCGAGCGUAUGGGGCUUCGUCACCCGCUCUUGUAGGCCCGGUCGGCGCUUGCCGACACAUCAAUCUUUUUUCCAGGUUGACCUCGGAUCAGGUAGGGAUACCCGCUGAACUAAAGCAUAUCAAUAAGCGGAGGA
rnacentral:misc_RNA from 1 species